AUUGAAUAUCGGGCUUACGGCGCUCGCAAGAGCUUAAUUGGGAAAUCCGCGAAAGUCGGAUACGGUCCCGCCGCUGUGAAUGGUGACGAAACCGGCACAAAGCCACUGUCUUUCAACAGAGAGACGGGAAGGCGCCGGGAGUAGGUUUGAGCCAGGAGUCAGAAGACCUGCCGUAGUGUUAAAGCCCUC
rnacentral:ncRNA from 2 species